CUGGGGUCUGUGGGAGACGCUGGAAAGUUCCAUGGAGUGGAGAGAGUUGGUACAGAAUGUGAAACUCUUUGGGAGGGAAUCCUUGGUGUUGCUGUGGGACAUGAAGCAGCGCAGCCAGCAGCCUGGGCCUCAUAUUUUGCAGAUGGCUCUGGGCUGUGACCUCAAGGAGAAUGGCAACUUCAAGAGCU
rnacentral:lncRNA from 1 species